CUUAUUAUAUUAAAAAACAAUAGUCAAAUAUUGCUGAUUAGAGUUAAUAUUGCUCUGAAUCAAACUUAAGCGAUAGAAGAUAAACACCUUGUAAAUAUUGAGAAGGUUUUGAUACUCUUUCAUUUUCAAUUUUAUGGUGCAAUAAGGAUUAUGUCAAUCUUUUACUUGCAUCUUUUACUUUUCCUUUUAUUAAAUAGUUGCAAAAGUAGGCAAUUUCAUUUUUGCUCUCUUACUCUGGCACUACUUUCUUGGAAGGUUACCCUUUCCCAAGUCCUUUGGUCAUUAUUUUUGAACAUUACUAGUUUUAAUUUUGUGCCUUGCUUCCUAAUUUACAUUCUACCAGAAAAGUCUCGGUUUUAUGCACGCGGGAUUGAUGCCUUUCUUGUCAUAACUUCUAGAGACAUAAGUAGUGAUUGGGUAUUGCUAUUUUUGGUCCUAUGGGCAUUGGGAUUAAUCUCAUAGAGACAUUUUCUUCAGGACUCAGAAACGAAUUGAUGUAGAACCAAUAGAUAUUGAGGGGAUUUUGGGAAGAGAAACAAAUUCUUAGAUUAGGGAGAGAAACUAAUUCUUAAUUUUAUUGCUCAAAUAAAUAAUCAAUGUCAUAAUAGAUCUGUAAAUGAAAUAGAGAAACUAAAUCCUAAUUAUAGAGUUUGAAAUCUCAAUUGCACUAGGAUUUUAAGAACCCUAUUUCAACUCUGACUAGGAUUUAUACAGUAAAUAAAACAGUAAAAUAAAAUAAAUUUUCUAAAUUUUUCCCUACAAUAGUUUUUCCUUCUUCAGGAUUUCCUACAUCAAAAACCCUUGCAAUGCAAGGGUUCUUCAUUCAUCUGAUUUUCCCUAGAGCUUGUUGUUCAGGACAUUUUUAGAACUAGAAUAGCAUUUUAAACAUUUCCUCCAGAGAAACUCGUCAACAUCAAUUGUUUGUACUUCAUUAGUUUUGUUUGUACAGAGCUCAUUUUUUUUUUUAACUGAAGUUCUAUCUACUUAAAUUGCAUUGCUAAAAUGUUAUGGAGCUGUGAAUUGAAAUUUUAUGAUAUUUCUUUAUUAAGGUUUGGAAAAUAUCUUAAAUAUGCCAACUAACAUUGUCAACAUGCAGACAUUUAUUUAUCCAAUAAAAAGCCAUUGUUAAUACUUGGAUAGAUAACCAAACUUGUGUGAACUGUUACUUCAUAGUGCUGUUUUUCUGAUGUGAAUUUUGUCCUAUGCAAUCCCUUAAUUGAAUGUUUUGCAAUGCCCUAUAUAUGGAUAUCAAUUUAAUGAACCAAAGGAUGCACUUCUGAAUCUGAGUUCAUACUCACCAUGUCAAAUUAUGUCCCAAUUGAUUUAAUAGUCAGAAUUCCAUGAGUGAAAAACUAUGUAUCUUUUUUCACGCUUGUUGAUUUUUUUUCCUCUGCCAUCAAUAUGGGUUGCUUUGAUCACUUAAUUAUGAGUGAUCAUGGAGAUUUGUCAUAUUUCAGUUGCAUAUCUUUUAACAUUUUCUUUAUUUCUCUGUGCUACAUUCUAGUAGUGUUCAAUGCCCCUUUUUUCCCAGAUGAAUAUCUGCUGGGUCAUUCGUUUGUGUGGAUAAGAUCAUUGGAUUAUGAUUAUAGAGAGGAUUGGUCAACAUAAAUAUCCACAAACUUGUGUCGAUGUUAUUAUAACAACUUUAUCUUUUAAGAAUCUAGAUGCAUUGCUUUUAUGAUUACUAAUAGCAUUGGUAUAAAUAGGAGGGCAGGUAUUCUUGAGUUAGUUUUUGGACUGGUAGUUAUUUUUUCACGUGUUAUUGUUUGAAAAUUGAACUAUGAAGUGGAUGUGAUUGGAAUUCAAUGUUGAUGAAUUCUUUUAUUUGUGUUAUUGCCAUUGUCUAUAUAUUAUAAAAGAGUUUUGGCUCAAUAUCUAACCUCAAUAAAUUUAUUUAGCUCCAACUUCACUUGAUUGUGUUGAAUUUGGAGAAAUCCCAUUGUAGGUAGCUUGCUUUCAAAUCUCUUGUGAUUGUAAUUUAUGAUUUCCUGCUGAAUAAUUAGACAAGGGGAUUCAAGUUAGAAGAAAGGAUUACUUUUAACAUAAAACUGGUUGCUAAGACUUUAACAAGAUCCAAUAAGGGAUUAUGAAGAGAGUUAAAGAUUUCAAACAUAAAUGCAAAUAACUCUUUUAAGUUAUUUGAUGAUAGGAUAGACAAAAGUGACAAUCAGAAUUCACCAACUCAUUCAUUUAAGUUCAGUUCUCUUUUCUACACAUGCUUGUGCUGUGUUUCUUUUCUUUUCUUUUUUAAGGUCACACUUUCGUUUUUCCAGCUAACUCCUCUUUUGUGAAGACUGAAGAGGGAUUGAGGAAAUACCUUUAUUAGUUCAAUUACAAAGAAGUGACAAGAAGAUGGAGAAUCUAUUUCCACAUUGAAACCUGCAUGACCUAAUGUUAGGCAAUGAGUAUUCAUGAAUGAGUGACAUAAAAUUGUACAGAUACACGUGACAUAAAAUUGUACAGAUACGCAGCAUGUCUCUUUGUGAAAAAUCCACUCUGUGAAAUUUUGUCAGCAUUUAUUCCACUUUGUUAUAAUGUAUUCAAUAUUGCGUGGUAUCAUAUGGUGUUAGUUAUUUACCUGACUUCCAAAACCACCAUAUUAUCUACUCUUCAACAUCUAACUGUCUCACAAGUUGGAUAAAGACUAGAAGCCCUUUUAUAAUGCAGGAUAUUUUGUAAUUCUUGUUAAUGGUGUUCUAACAGUCUGUCAAGGCAUCCUUAUUUGACUCAUUUCCCAAUACAACAGCAUCCCUGCAAGGAUGGUAUUUCUGCUUUUGAUGGGCCCAAUGGUUCUGGCAUUGCGGUUCCAUGCAGAUUUCGUGUCGUAUUAGAAUUUCUGUCUAGCUUAGUGAUUGGAAAUUUCUAAUUAAAUGUCAUUUUAUUAAUGUUAGUUGAUGCAAAUUACUAUAUUGGAAAGGCCUCCAUUUAUAAUUUGUUUAUAGUAUUGUGAUUCUUGUUUGACAUAUUAUAGCUUUAAAAGGCAAAAGAUAUGAGAGGGAGGAGACAGGAAAUACAAAUAAGCUUUAUUGCUUUCAUUUUGCUAGAAUGUUAUGACAUGAUGGUGAUAGUUAAAUUUGCUAGAACAAUCAACUUUUUUUGUGGCCUGGCUUUUAUCAGAUCUUAUUACUAGUGAUCAGGAAAAUUGAAUCAGAAUUUAAUAUAUGCAGAAUUGUAAUAUAUGGUGUCAUAUCAGUAUCAUGAUCUGUCUUUUUGUAGGUACAAUGUGUUCUGUUCAUUCCCUAAAAUGUUUGACUUCACCCA
rnacentral:misc_RNA from 1 species